rnacentral:rRNA from 1 species
ACUGUCAGGUGGGCAGUUUGACUGGGGCGGUCGCCUCCCAAAAGGUAACGGAGGCGCUCAAAGGUUCUCUCAGUACGGUCGGAAAUCGUACGUAGAGUGUAAAGGCAAAAGAGAGCUUGAUUGCAAGACAUACAGGUCGAGCAAGGAUGAAAAUCGGACUUAGUGAUCCGGUGGUUCUGCGUGGAAGGGCCAUCGCUCAACGGAUAAAAGCUACCCUGGGGAUAACAGGCUUAUCUCCCCCAAGAGUCCACAUCGACGGGGAGGUUUGGCACCUCGAUGUCGGCUCAUCACAUCCUGGGGCUGUAGUAGGUCCCAAGGGUUGGGCUGUUCGCCCAUUAAAGUGGUACGCGAGCUGGGUUCAGAACGUCGUGAGACAGUUCGGUCCCUAUCCGUCGCAGGCGUAGGAAAUUUGAGAAGACCUGUCCUUAGUACGAGAGGACCGGGAUGGACGUACCUCUGGUGUACCAGUUGUCCUGCCAAGGGCAUGGCUGGGUAGCUAUGUACGGAAUGGAUAAGCGCUGAAAGCAUCUAAGCGCGAAGCCAACUUCAAGAUAAGAUUUCCCACCGCAAGGGUAAGACCCCAGAAAGACUAUCUGGUUGAUAGGUCGAAGGUGUAAGUGCAGCAAUGUAUUUAGCUUAUCGAUACUAAUAG